GAUGAACGCUGGCGGCGUGCCUAAUACAUGCAAGUCGAGCGAACAGACGAGGAGCUUGCUCCUCUGACGUUAGCGGCGGACGGGUGAGUAACACGUGGAUAACCUACCUAUAAGACUGGGAUAACUUCGGGAAACCGGAGCUAAUACCGGAUAAUAUAUUGAACCGCAUGGUUCAAUAGUGAAAGACGGUUUUGCUGUCACUUAUGGAUGGAUCCGCGCCGCAUUAGCUAGUUGGUAAGGUAACGGCUUACCAAGGCAACGAUGCGUAGCCGACCUGAGAGGGGGAUUGGCCACCCCGGAAAUGGGACCAGGUCCCGACUCCUUACGGAGGGCGCAGUAGGGAAUCUUCCGGAAUGGGGGGAAGCUUGGCGGAGCAACGCCGCGUGAGUGAUGAAGGUCUUCGGAUCGUAAAACUCUGUUAUUAGGGAAGAACAAAUGUGUAAGUAACUAUGCACGUCUUGACGGUACCUAAUCAGAAAGCCACGGCUAACUACGUG
rnacentral:rRNA from 1 species